GACUCGAUGGUGGAUGGUCCACACCUACUUUCGUUGGCCCCGUGGUCUCCUUCUAUUCACGAGCAGGAGAUGCCGGUUCAAUUCCGGCUCGAGUCA